CUGGCAUCAAUGAANAACGCAGCGGAAAUGCUGAUAAGUAAUGUNAAUUGAAGAAUUCAGUGAAUCAUCGAAUCUUUGAACGCACAUUGCGCCCGCCAGUACUCUGGCGGGCAUGCCUGUUCGAGCGUCAUUUCAACCCUCAAGCCCUGCUUGGUGUUGGGGUCCUACGGCUGCCGUANGCCCUGAAAGCUAGUGGCGGACUCGCUACAACUCCGAGCGCAGUAAUAUAUCUCGCUAGGGAAGUGUUGCGGGUUCCGGCCGUUAAACCCCCCAAUUUUACAAGGUUGACCUCGGAUCANAGUAGGAAAUACCCGCUGAACUU
rnacentral:rRNA from 1 species